rnacentral:rRNA from 1 species
CCUACGGGAGGCAGCAGUGAGGAAUAUUGGUCAAUGGACGCAAGUCUGAACCAGCCAUGCCGCGUGCAGGAAGACGGCUCUAUGAGUUGUAAACUGCUUUUGUACGAGGGUAAACGCGGAUACGCGUAUCUGUCUGAAAGUAUCGUACGAAUAAGGAUCGGCUAACUCCGUGCCAGCAGCCGCGGUAAUACGGAGGAUUCAAGCGUUAUCCGGAUUUAUUGGGUUUAAAGGGUGCGUAGGCGGUCGGAUAAGUUAGAGGUGAAAUCCCGAGGCUCAACUUCGGAAUUGCCUCUGAUACUGUCCGGCUAGAGAGUAGUUGCGGGAGGCGGAAGGUAUGGUGUAGCGGUGAAAUGCUUAGAGAUCAUACAGAACACCGAUUGCGAAGGCAGCUUACCAAGCUACUUCUGACGUUGAGGCACGAAAGCGUGGGGAGCAAACAGGAUUAGAUACCCUUGUAGUC